rnacentral:rRNA from 1 species
UGCCAGCCGCCGCGGUAAUACGGAGGGUGCAAGCGUUAUCCGGAAUCACUGGGUUUAAAGGGUGCGUAGGCGGUGUUAUAAGUCAGAGGUGAAAGCUUGCAGCUUAACUGUGAAAUUGCCUUUGAUACUGUAGCACUUGAAUUAAGUUGAGGUUAGCGGAAUGAGUCAUGUAGCGGUGAAAUGCAUAGAUAUGACUUAGAACACCAAUUGCGAAGGCAGCUGACUAGACUUAUAUUGACGCUGAGGCACGAAAGCGUGGGGAGCGAACAGGAUUAGAUA